GAUGAACGGUAGCGGCAGGCUUAACACAUGCAAGUCGAGGGGCAGCACGGACUUCGGUCUGGUGGCGACCGGCAAACGGGUGCGGAACACGUACACAAUCUACCUUUAUCUGGGGUAUAGCCCGAAGAAAUUCGGAUUAAUCCCCCAUAAUAUAUUAGAGUGGCAUCACUUCGAUAUUAAAACUCCGGUGUAUAAAGAUGAGUGUGCGUCCCAUUAGCUAGUUGGUAGGGUAACGGCCUACCAAGGCAACGAUGGGUAGCUGGUGUGAGAGCACGACCAGCCACACGGGCACUGAGACACGGGCCCGACUCCUACGGGAGGCAGCAGUGAGGAAUAUUGGUCAAUGGACGCAAGUCUGAACCAGCCAUGCCGCGUGAAGGAUGAAGGCCUUCUGGGUUGUAAACUUCUUUUAUUGGGGAAGAAAAUUACGGUUUCUACUGUAACCGACGGUACCCAAGGAAUAAGCACCGGCUAACUCCGUGCCAGCAGCCGCCGUAA
rnacentral:rRNA from 1 species